rnacentral:rRNA from 1 species
GAGUUUGAUCCUGGCUCAGAACGAACGCUGGCGGCGUGCCUAACACAUGCAAGUCGAACGGGAUUAGGGGCUUGCUCCUAAUCUAGUGGCGCACGGGUGAGUAACGCGUAGAUAAUCUGCCUGACGAUCUGGGAUAACACUUCGAAAGAGGUGCUAAUACCGGAUAAGCCCACGGAGUCUUUGGAUUCUGCGGGAAAAGGGGGGGACCUUUUGGCCUUCUGUCGUCAGAUGAGUCUGCGUACCAUUAGCUAGUUGGUAGGGUAAAGGCCUACCAAGGCUACGGUGGUUAGCUGGUCUGAGAGGAUGAUCAGCCACACUGGAACUGAGACACGGUCCAGACUCCUACGGGAGGCAGCAGUGGGGAAUUUUGCGCAAUGGGGGAAACCCUGACGCAGCAACGCCGCGUGAGUGAUGAAGGCCUUUGGGUCGUAAAGCCCUGUCAGAGGGGAAGAAAUGAUAUAGUGCUAAUACCACUUUAUCUUGACGGUACCCUCAAAGGAAGCACCGGCUAACUCCGUGCCAGCAGCCGCGGWAAUAC